rnacentral:lncRNA from 1 species
GUCCAGUGGGCAGGCUGGUUAGAGUUCCUCUAGGGGCCCCCUCCCACCUGGCUGUCUCACUUACAACUUCCCUGUUCUGUAUGAUGUUGUCUAUGAGUUUGUCAUACAUGACUUGUAUUAUUUUGAGGCUCAGAAGUACAUAUUCAGGUUUGUUGUACAGCUCCCAGACUUCAUCCUGCUUCAGCUCCUGUCAUCCUGUGCUGUGGAAUUCCUAAACCUCUUAGCUUGAGCCCUGCAACGAUCUGAUUUUCACUCCGUUCUAGGAAGGUUCCAUUCUUCAGUGUGGAGCACAUAUAAGUAUGCAUCUAUAUUGGAGAAAUGAAUGCUAAACAAACGAGGACUUCCUGCUCCUUGUUCUUGGGCCUUCAGGUUUGAACUGGACUUAUACCACUGACUCCCUGCUUAGACUAGAACUAUAUCACCAUCUUUCCUGAGCCCCCAGCUUUCAGACAGCAGAUCAUUGGCCUUCCUAGCUUCCACGAUCAAAUUGGAAAAGCAUUGGAAAAUUUGUCCAAAGUCACUCAACAGAUUCAUGAUGGAUCCUGGAUUCACAGCCAGCUUUACUUGGCAAUAAAAUUCAAGUCCUGUUCACAUCACAACACAUUUUUACCGAAAGAAAAAUAUGAUGUGUAGAUGUUUGGAGGCAUCCUAUCUUAAUGAGGCUUUUGUUAGAAAGAGUUUUCUUAAAAUUACAGGGUUGGGGAAAUAAAAAAUGUUUGUUGCUCAGAUUAACAAAAAAAUGGUAUAUAGAAAAUAAAGCUAAGAAAGGAAAGUGCAGACAACCAAGAGACUAGAAUUUUCAAUAAAUGGCAAAAUUGUGGUGUUCUGUGGUUACCUCUUGAAGAUUUGGCCUGAAUCAUGCAACAAUUGCCCCUUACCCUCAGUCCUCAAAUUACAAUAGUGAAAGAGGUUUCUAUAGGUAUUAUAUUUGAAUCUGCUAUAUUUUGUUUAUUACUUGCAAGGACAUAUAGGAGAGCAAAAGUUUUCCCUCUAAUUUCUUAGGUUUAGUAACUGGAACUUGUGAAUUAAACUGGCAAAAUACAGAUUAACAGGAGAAGAGUCAUAGACAUUUUAUUUUAAAUUUCAUAUGCAAUGUAGUUCCAGAGAAAAGAAGUGAAAGCCUGAAGAAGCAAUUAGACUUGAGGAGUUAUAUCUUUAACAAAGGGUGGUGAGUGUAGAGAAGUGACUAGAUUUUUUUUAAGAUGGUUUUAGGCUUCCAAGGGUGAUAAACCAUGGGAAGGAAAAUACAUGAGGGAAACUAAUGGUAUAUAGGAGUUAUUUAGUAAGGUUUGUUUACACAGACUAAUCUCAGUGGUAAGAACGGUUUUUCUCCUUUUUCUGGUCAGGGGAAGGAGAAGGGACACCAUCACAAUGGGAAUUUGUGCUUUGCUGGUAGACAAAUAGGAGCAGAGCAGAGAACUUCUUUCUCUCAAUUGUCUUCAGCUCAGAAUAAUCCUUAUGCCAAACAGGCAUAAUUUGGAAUUACAUAUUUUCAUCCUCUCCACACACAAGCUUCCGUAUAAAGUUCAAAGACAGUAGUAUUUUCUUAUAAUUCACUCUGCCCCAAAUAUUAACUAAGAUGACAUUCUUUUUCCAGCUUGAUUCUGCAACAUUCACUUCCAGAAACUUUAUCACUCUUAAUCCUGGAUUGAAGGAAAAUAUUUGAAUGUGAUAAAGGAUAUAUAUUUUAAAAAGAAAGGAACUAUAAUAAAAGGCAAGAUUCAGAAAUUAUGUUGUAAUCUGUGACUUAGUGCAAUUUAGUCCUUGAAUUUCUUGUGUGCAAUUUAUUGAAGCUAUCUUAUUAUAUGUUAAUUCUGUGUCUUCUUUGCCCUCUCUUUUUGUAAAAAUUUUCUUUUUCUGAAUUUUUUUCCAGAGUCAAUCAUUGAUCUUCUUGAUAACAUUCAUUUCCCUUGGUGAACUAACUUUGGUUCAUCGCUUUAUCAUUCUUCUCCAGGCUGUUUUUGAAGGGUCUGUGAGCUGAGAAUGGUUUUUAAUAGAUAAAUGCUCACAAUCAAUUUGGGGAUAAGAAAUAUUAUUUUGAAUCUCAGUUACAAAAAAUGUUAUCCUUCAUAAAAUAAUUCAUUUUUUUCUCAGUAAUAAAAAUGUAUUUCAAAAAUAUGGUGUCCUUAUUAUAUUUUAAAUUUUGCCAAUAAAAAUAAUAAAAAUUGAUUUUCUCUAAUUAUGUAAGUACCUAGAUGAUUUUUAAAAUUUUGUCUCUUGACUUAUACAAAGCCUAAAAUAUUUAUAACUGCC